AUUAAGGACAUAUUCUUGCGAGAGCAGAUGGAUGAACAGGGAUGGGUACCAGUUACGCUAAUAGCAGGAUUCAAGAAAGUAAUGGAGUUGACGGAUAAUAUACAACUGAUACUGAAUGUUGUGAGGUCCUCUACUGUUGUAGAAGUGCAGGGUGAAAAGUUAAGGCGGAGAAAUGACUGGUCUCAUUGGCUGAUACCAGCAUCAGUACAUAAUUCAACCAUGUCAAGUCCUCAAUCUCCUCAAAUGCCUAGUCCUGAUUUGCUUGCAGAAAAUCUCCAACGUGUUGUAUUUGAUUAUAAGACUACAGGACAUGGAAACACUGAAGCACAUCUUAGUAGAUCAUCAUCUACUGCAUUAAGUAGUCCAUUUCUGCAGUUUGACAAUGAGAUGGUUGAACAAGCUGAUGCUCAGCAUUCACAGCCAAUGCCACUUGGAAACCCAAGUUAAAGAGUUAACUAUUCUGGAGUGAAGAGAUAGCUGUUGUGCUUCGUCAAGCUAUCGAUGAGUUUAGUCUAUAGUGUUGGUGGUGGCUAUAUGACAUCUCAUGAAGGAAAUGGACAGGGAAUAAAAGGGGAACAAACAGAAUUGACAAUAGAAUUAUAAUUUCUUUAAGCAUGCUUGUAGCUUGAUUUUGUUGGGGUGUAUAUUUUGUUUUGUUGGGGACACAAGUAUUUUCUUUUCCUUAUGUUAUGUUGUUCUGUCAUGGUUAUCUAUUAUACAGGCAUGGGCAAUUUUGGUUCUACUUCCCCAUGCAGCCCCUCAGCUUCAUCUCCUUGAGCCAAAAUCCUUGGGGCAUUUAUCUUUUGAAGUAGAGGCUUACUGAAAGGUAUGGAGUUGCUGGCUUCUGAUCUUUUGUGCUGGCUCUGAGCACUUGGUUACCUUGUUAUUGUCUCUGUUUGUUCCAAAGAUAGCACCAUUGACUCUUUUAUAUUUAUGUAUACAUAUUUAUACCUUCUCAAAAAGUGGCAUUUGUUGCCCUUGCAGCACUUAUUUAUGCUUGG
rnacentral:misc_RNA from 1 species